rnacentral:lncRNA from 1 species
AUUUAAUCAGUGCUUUUAAAAUUAUAUUCCUUAGAACACCCAACCCAGGUUAAUGGGAAUAGUUUUCUGUGUGCAUGUUUUGGAAACUCAGGCUAAGCAAAGUUAAGCAGUUCGUUCAGUCUUUGCCUUCUCAGAGCUUCAACACUGAUGCACACUAAGAUCCAGCAAGAUGAGGCAGUCAUGGAGAGCAUUUCCCUGCUAGAUUAGACAAAACCCUAUGUUCUCCUUUCUGAAGCCUCAGGAUUAAAGGGUUCUACUGCAUGGAAUUUGAGGGCUGCCUCCUGGCACCGCCACAGGGCUCUACUUCCCUGGAUAAGCAGGUGCCCUCAUUAAAGUCAAGGAUUAGGCAAACUUGAGAUGAAAGGACAAUUGUAAGUCUGAAAGGACUGUUUUCUCUCCUUUUUAAUGCAUGGAAAGUAUUCUAUUACAAGUUAGCAUGAAAGGCAAAGAGCAAAAAGAAUGUAAGACUCUACAUUGAAGGAAGCAAAAGAGUAAACCUGGACACACAAAUCUCCCUGAAACCAGCUUUUCUAUUUUACGAACAUUUCAUUCACUUCAAUCUUCUCUCCUUUCCAACAUUCUGUCAUUACUGUAUUAUUAAACCUAGGAUUCUCGAAGCUAAAUGAGAGAAGUAGUCUCAGAUGAUUGGAUGUAUUUCACUUUUACCUCUGCAAUGAUGAAAGACCAGUUUUGAACUCUUCUCCAUUUGUUUUCGAAUACCACCUUUCUGAACUAUUUUUCCUUUUUUUUCUGCUGGCCAAUUAACAUAAUUUAAAAG